rnacentral:lncRNA from 1 species
UUAGAGCAACCACAUAGUUUUAUUAUAUGUAGUAAAUACAAAUGAGCAAUUGAUGGUAGAAGUCCUUCAAAUAAUAUACAAUAACUUAAAUCUAAUAAUAAACGAUAUGUGAGGUUUUUAAUUGUAUCUGAUAUGGUCUUUAAUUGAAAACACCCUUACAAAUUAAGUUCUUUUAACCUCGUGUACAACAUCAGGCAGUUGCCACUUGAUUUCCUCACGUCAUAGCUCACACCUAGGUUUCAGGUCUUGGAGUAGAGCGCUUGAGAGUAUGCAGUGGUUGGUAUAGCUGAGCUUGCGUUAUGUAAAGAUCAGGAUGCAUAUUUAAUGACUUGAAGGUCACAGUGGUCGGUGUAGCUGAGCUUGUGUUAUCUGCAGAUCAGGAUGCAGAUUUAAUGAGCUGAAGGUCACACAGGUUCACUUGCAAUUCUUGAUGUCGUGAUUAGAUUCACAUUGUCAGGGUUGGUUGAUUGUGAGGUAUUUUCGGACAAACAUAGAGAGCGUUCAUCGAACUCUGCAUUAUAUUCUGGUAAUGUGCGUUUUAAAUGUAUCUGAAGAAUCUCUUUUAAAUUAUCUGAAGAAUCUCUUUUAAAUGUAUGUGAAGAAUUUCAAGUGUGGAUUUCAUUUUCUUGCCAGGUUUAUUAAAGUAUGGCAUUGACUUCGUAGUCUGAAUUGGAGUGUAUUGCAAAAGCAAUCAACCCUUCUCCUUCGGAUGGUGGAACAAAGCGAGAUGGUAUCAAAAAAGUACAAUAUUGCUAAAUGUACACAUGUACUCAUCCUGUACCGCAAGCACAUAAAUUAACCCGGCGUUACCACAAAAAUUGAGGCUUCACAAUUAAACCUUGGCUUCAAUGUGGAAAUAGAGUCCGCAGACAACUGUAACAAGGAUAAACGCACUAAAGAAUCUUUCCGCAAACAUGCACGACUUCUGAACAAUCAACUAAUACUAAAUCCAAAGCGACCAAUCGCAUGGCGUUGCCAAGCAUCAAGGCCACAUUGGAUACGAUUUCUAAACGUGAGCACCAGGCAAUGAAAGAU